AUUUACAAAUUAUGUUUGAAAUUUAAUUAUAAUUAACUGUUACUUAAAGUCAAAUUAAUUCAUGGCUUUAUUUCCUGAUUGAAUUCAAUGUAUUUCCUACUGCCAAUUUUAUUUCAUUUGAACCUCAAUCAUCUAAGUUAGCUCUGUUUCUUAUCUAUUUACUUUCAUUUGAUUGAAUGCCCUUGAAGAAAAUGUAUCAGGCCAAAAAAAAUAAUAUAUAUAUAAUUCCUUAUUUGCCAUUCUAUACAACUCUUCAAGAUCCUAGGAUAUGCUACAUAAUAAAAAUAAUAACUUCAACAGAAAGUCAAGAUGUCACUGAAUUUUGCCAGAGAGACACAAGAAUAAUACAUCAAACAGAAGAAGUAUAUGAGAACAAUUUUGCUGGGUAUAUAUUUACUUCAAUUCAACCAUUUGGAGAAAUAAUGAAAAUUCUGAUGAGUUUUAAAACUCAUAGUACAAAUAUGCAUUGAACUAUCACCACAGGGGCAUGUGAUGUAAUUGUGGCCAAUGAGACACAAGCCAACAUCUUCUAGAUUUUUUCCACUCUUCAGACGAAAGGAAGAGAUG